UCUUACCCAAUCGGGCCAGCAGUCGCGGUAAUACGUAGAAGACUAGUGUUAUUCAUGUUUUAAUCGGUUUAAAGGGUACCUAGACGGUAAAUCAAGCUUUCCAAGAAAUAAAGUUAAAGGACUAAUUUACUAGAGUUACUUAUGAGGGGGUAUUAAAGUCUGCUGGUGUAGAGAUGAAAUUCUGUCAUACCUCUUUUCAAUAGAAAAAUGAUGGCACAGGUAUAGGCGAAGGCAUCCCCUUAUGUGAUAACUGACGUUGAGGGACGAAGGCUUUGUGUAGCGAACAGGAUUAGAUACCCCAGUAGUCGAAGCAGAAAAUGAUGAAUGUCAUAGAUUAGAGGUAAUUUUAUUCUAUAAAUGAAAGUGUAAGCAUUCCACCUCAUGAGUAAUUUGGCAACAUUGGAACUGAAAUCAUUAGACCGUUUCUGAAACCAGUAGUGAAGUAUGUUGUUUAAUUUGAUAAUCCGCAAAAAACCUUACCACAAUUUGAAUAUUUAUAUUUUUUUUUAUUGUUUUCUUCUUAAUUUUUUUCUGAGAGAUAUUGUACGAUAUACAUGAAAAUGUACAUGAUGAUGAACAUGAAAAUGUACAUCAUCAUGAAAAUGUACAUCAUCAUGAAGAUGAUGAUGAACAAGAAAAAAAGAAAAAAGUUAACACGGAGGCAAUAAGAUAUAUUUACAAGCGUUGCACGGCUGUCUUCAGUUAAUGUCGCGAGACUUUGGUUAGUUCCAUUAAAU
rnacentral:rRNA from 1 species